rnacentral:rRNA from 1 species
UACGUAGGGUGCGAGCGUUGUCCGGAUUUACUGGGCGUAAAGGGAGCGUAGGCGGAUUUUUAAGUGGGAUGUGAAAUACCCGGGCUCAACCUGGGUGCUGCAUUCCAAACUGGAAAUCUAGAGUACAGGAGGGGAAAGUGGAAUUCCUAGUGUAGCGGUGAAAUGCGUAGAGAUUAGGAAGAACACCGGUGGCGAAGGCGACUUUCUGGACUGUAACUGACGCUGAGGCUCGAAAGCGUGGGUAUCAAACAGG